AAUCGAACUCGGAGAUAGCUGGUUCUCCCCGAAAUAGCUUUAGGGCUAGCGUCGAGGUAAAGUCGUGUGAAGGUAGAGCACUGAAUAUGUGAUGGCCCCAUCUCGGGGUACUGAACAUAAUCAAACUCCGAAUGUCACAAAGAUAUACUCGGCAGUCAGACAGUGGGUGAUAAGGUCCAUUGUCAAAAGGGAAACAGCCCAGACCAUCAGCUAAGGUCCCAAAAUAUAUACUAAGUGGAAAAGGAUGUGGAGAUGUCCAGACAACUAGGAGGUUGGCUCAGAAGCAGCCAUCCUUUAAAGAGUGCGUAACAGCUCACUAGUCGAAUGACUCUGCGCCGAUAAUUUACCGGGGCUAAGUAUAUUACCGAAGCUAUGGAUUUACGCGUAAGCGUGAGUGGUAGGGGAGCGUUCUAUGUGCGGAGAAGCGGUACCGUAAGGAGCCGUGGAGCGCAUAGAAGAGAGAAUGCCGGUGUGAGUAGCGAAACGUGGGUGAGAAUCCCACGCACCGAAAACCCAAGGUUUCCAGAGGAAGGUUCGUCCGCUCUGGGUAAGUCGGGACCUAAGGCGAGGCCGAGAGGCGUAGUCGAUGGACAACAGGUAGAGAUUCCUGUACUUACGGUAUGAAUGAUGGAGUGACGGAGAAGGCUAGCGGAUCCUGCUGAUGGAAAUGCAGGUGCAAGCGAGGUAGCCGACAGCCAGGCAAAUCCGGCUGUCGAAAGGCAAAGGCGUGAGGCGUAUGGAAAGCUGCGGCAAGUACAGAAGUCCGUGAAGCCAGCUUCCAAGAAAAGCUUCUAGUGAUAAUCAUACAGUAACCCGUACCGAAAAUGGACACACAUGGGUGAGGAGAGAAUCCUAAGGUGAGCGAGAGAACUAUAGCUAAGGAACUCUGCAAAAUGACUCCGUAACUUAGGGAUAAGGAGUGCUCAUAGAGAUAUGAGCCGCAGUGAAACGGCCCAAGCGACUGUUUACCAAAAACACAGCUCUAUGCUAAGUCGAAAGACGACGUAUAUGGGGUGACGCCUGCCCGGUGCUGGAAGGUUAAGAGGAUGUGUCAGCGCAAGCGAAGCAUUGAAUUGAAGCCCCAGUAAACGGCGGCCGUAACUAUAACGGUCCUAAGGUAGCGAAAUUCCUUGUCAGGUAAGUUCUGACCCGCACGAAAGGCGUAACGAUUUGGGCGCUGUCUCAGCUGUAGACUCGGUGAAGUCUUAGUACCUGUGAAGAUGCAGGUUACCCGCGACUAGACGGAAAGACCCCAUGGAGCUUUACUGUAGCUUGAUAUUGGACUUUGAUGCAAGAUGUACAGGAUAGGUAGGAGACUGAGAGACAUGCACGCCAGUGUGUGAGGAGUCAAUGUUGGGAUACUACUCUUCUUGUAUUGGAGUUCUAACCGGAUGCCAUGGAACUGGCAACGGGACAGUGUCAGGUGGGCAGUUUGACUGGGGCGGUCGCCUCCCAAAGAGUAACGGAGGCGCCCAAAGAUACCCUCAGCUUGGAUGGAAAUCAAGCGCAGAGUGCAAAGGCAUAAGGGUGUUUGACUGCGAGACCUACAAGUCGAGCAGGGACGAAAGUCGGGCUUAGUGAUCCGGCGGUGCCGAAUGGAAGGGCCGUCGCUCAACGGAUAAAAGCUACCCUGGGGAUAACAGGCUGAUCUCCCCCAAGCGUCCACAGCGACGGGGAGGUUUGGCACCUCGAUGUCGGCUCGUCACAUCCUGGGGCUGUAUUCGGUCCCAAGGGUUCGGCUGUUCGCCGAUUAAAGUGGCACGCGAGCUGGGUUCAGAACGUCGUGAGACAGUUCGGUCCCUAUCUGUUGCGGGCGUAAGAGAUUUGAAGGGAGCUGUCCUUAGUACGAGAGGACCGGGAUGGACGUACCUCUGGUGCACCAGUUGUCCUGCCAAGGGCAUAGCUGGGUAGCUAUGUACGGACGAGAUAAACGCUGAAGGCAUCUAAGCGUGAAACUCCCCCUAAGAUUAGAUCUCUCAUUCGAAAGAAGUAAGGCACGACGUAGACUAUGUCGUUGA
rnacentral:rRNA from 1 species